rnacentral:rRNA from 1 species
UACAGAGGGGGCAAGCGUUGUUCGGAAUUACUGGGCGUAAAGGGCGCGUAGGCGGCCUGCUAAGUCGAACGUGAAAUCCCUGGGCUCAACCCAGGAACUGCGUCCGAUACUGGUUGGCUUGAAUCCGGGAGAGGGAUGCGGAAUUCCAGGUGUAGCGGUGAAAUGCGUAGAUAUCUGGAGGAACACCGGUGGCGAAGGCGGCGACCUGGGUAGAUACUGACGCUGAGGUGCGAAAGCGUGGGGAGCAAACAGG